rnacentral:lncRNA from 1 species
AAUGCUGCUGGUUGCAGGGAAUGGCAGUGAAGGUGAGUGCUGACAUGGUACUCACCUCUCCCUAAGGGAUUUUUUGCCCUGAGACACCAGCCAGUUGCUCAUGUGCUCCGUGGUGACAUGGGGAGGGACCUGGCCUUGACUCUGGAGCAGCAGAUAGUGGACCAUGAGCUUCUUCUGCAAGAUGAGCAGGCCUGCAGAGUCUGAAAAUAAAGGCUGCUUCUACAGAAAUCCUUGGAAGAUAAUGAAAAUAAUGAUGCUUUGUUAUGCACAUUAUGCACAGGCAUUUACGGUAUGCUAAAAUGAAUUUCUCCUAAGAUUACCUUUGUGGGACCAUAAGUGAACUCCGGAAUGCACCAAACCCUAUCCAUGGUAAGAUGGGGAAGAAAUGCAGCGCUAUAGAUAUACGAGAUGCUCUAGAGAUAACAGGAAUGACUUAAAGUCGCGAAUGAUCAAUGGCUGGAGUCCUCCAAUAUGCUGCACUUAGAAUUGAGUUGUAGGGAUGUUUGGCGCAAAAUAGAAUGUUUACAUUCUAUUGCCAUGGAGAAAUGGAAUGUGUAGAACCUGUAUAAUUGGGUAUGCUUCUAUGUCUUUAUUUCGUGAAACAUUAAACUCUUUAUUUUGUCAUAAUGUGUAUAUGAGGAUGUAGGAGCCCGUCCAGAUUCAUGACCCGAUUAUCCAGGUGCAUGUUGCUUAGACCAACUAAUCCAACCUUGGUUUCCAAGUUAAAUACAUUGUUUAUAUAUGCCUAUACAAAUCUAUCGACCACAUCCAUUUAAAGCAAUGAUUGUCAAUUGAAAAUGUGGUUGUUGUGUUAUCCUGUUUUGCACCUUGAGUGUCACUCCCCUUAAGCACAUUAUUCCAAUAUUUUUCCAAGCUCUGAAUUGACACAAUGAACACUUUUGCAAAGAUAUUCGGUUAAAAAUAAGAGUAUGAAUGACAAUAAACGUAUGACUUGGAUUGUAUGCAUAAUAGUGUAGUAAACAAUAUCGCUCAGCGCGGGAACUUUUGGUGUUUGGAAAGUAUCCGUUUUUAGUCUCCAUGACACGUAUCACUUCGUUG